GAGACCCCAGAUCAGGUGGGACUACCCGCUG
rnacentral:rRNA from 1 species